AUUGAACGCUGGUUGCAGGCCUAACACAUGCAAGUCGAGCGGAUAGAAAGCACUUCGGUGCGAGUAGAGCGGCGGACGGGUGAGUAACGCGUAGGAAUUUGCCCAGUAGUGGGGGACAACUUAGGGAAACUUAAGCUAAUACCGCAUACGCUACGGGGAAAAGGAGGCCUAUUCUUGAAAGCUUCCGCUAUUAGAUGAGCCUGCGUCGGAUUCGCUAGUUGUUGAGGUAAAGGCUCACCAAGGCGACGAUCCGUAGCUGUUCUGCGAGGAUGAUCAGCCACACUGGGACUGAGACACGGCCCAGACUCCUACGGGAGGCAGCAGUGGGGAAUAUUGCACAAUGGGCGAAAGCCUGAUGCAGCCAUGCCGCGUGUGUGAAGAAGGCCUUAGGGUUGUAAAGCACUUUCAGUGGGGAGGAAAGGUUAGUCGUUAAUAUCGGCUAGCUGUGACGUUACCCACAGAAGAAGGACCGGCUAACUCCGUGCCAGCAGCCGCGGUAAUAUGGAGGGUCCAAGCGUUAAUCGGAAUUACUGGGCGUAAAGCGUGCGUAGGCGGUUUGUUAAGUGGAAUGUGAAAGUCCCGGGCUCAACCUGGGAACUGCAUCCCAAACUGGCAAACUAGAGGGCGGAAAAGGAGUGUGGAAUUUCCUGUGUAGCGGUGAAAUGCGUAGAUAUAGGAAGGAACACCAGUGGCGAAGGCGACACUCUGGUCUGACACUGCUGACGCUGAGGUACGAAAGCGUGGGGAGCAAACAGGAUUAGAUCCCCUGGUAGUCCACGCCGUAAACGAUGUCAACUAGCCGUUGGGUCCCUUGAGGACUUAGUGGCGCAGCUAACGCAAUAAGUUGACCGCCUGGGGAGUACGGCCGCAAGGCUAAAACUCAAAUGAAUUGACGGGGGCCCGCACAAGCGGUGGAGCAUGUGGUUUAAUUCGACGCAACGCGAAGAACCUUACCUACUCUUGACAUCCUCAGAACUUUCCAGAGAUGGAUUGGUGCCUUAGGGAACUCAGUGACAGGUGCUGCAUGGCUGUCGUCAGCUCGUGUCGUGAGAUGUUGGGUUAAGUCCCGUAACGAGCGCAACCCUUGUCCUUAGUUGCCAGCGAUUCGGUCGGGAACUCUAAGGAGACUGCCGGUGACAAACCGGAGGAAGGUGGGGACGACGUCAAGUCAUCAUGGCCCUUACGAGCGGGGCUACACAAGUGCUACAAUGGAACGCACAAAGGGCAGCAAACCCGCGAGGGGGAGCGAAUCCCACAAAACGUUUCGUAGUCCGGAUCGCAGUCUGCAACUCGACUGCGUGAAGUCGGAAUCGCUAGUAAUCGUGAAUCAGAAUGUCACGGUGAAUACGUUCCCGGGCCU
rnacentral:rRNA from 1 species